rnacentral:tRNA from 2 species
CGGAGAAUGCAGGAUUCGAACCUGCGGAGCGUUUCCGCUCGUCGAGUUAGCAACCCGAUAUAAUAGACCACUCUAUCAAUUCUCC